GACGAACGCUGGCGGCGUGCUUAACACAUGCAAGUCGAACGGUAAGGCCCUUCGGGGUACACGAGUGGCGAACGGGUGAGUAACACGUGGGUGAUCUGCCCUGCACUUCGGGAUAAGCCUGGGAAACUGGGUCUAAUACCGGAUAGGACUCCGGACUGCAUGGUCUGGGGUGGAAAGCUUUUGCGGUGUGGGAUGGGCCCGCGGCCUAUCAGCUUGUUGGUGGGGUGAUGGCCUACCAAGGCGACGACGGGUAGCCGGCCUGAGAGGGCGACCGGCCACACUGGGACUGAGAUACGGCCCAGACUCCUACGGGAGGCAGCAGUGGGGAAUAUUGCACAAUGGGCGCAAGCCUGAUGCAGCGACGCCGCGUGAGGGAUGACGGCCUUCGGGUUGUAAACCUCUUUCAGCACCGACGAAGCGCAAGUGACGGUAGGUGCAGAAGAAGGACCGGCCAACUACGUGCCAGCAGCCGCAGUAA
rnacentral:rRNA from 1 species